rnacentral:rRNA from 1 species
GGGACNGGAUAACCUCGGGAAACUGAGGAUAAACCGCGAUAGGUCAUAGUAUCUGGAAUGAUUUAUGGCUCAAAUCUAUAUGGCCCCUGGAUUGGACUGCGGCCGAUCAGGCUGUUGGUGAGGUAAUGGCCCACCAAACCUAAAACCGGUACGGGCUCUGAGAGGAGAAGCCCGGAGAUGGGCACUGAGACAAGGGCCCAGGCCCUAUGGGGCGCAGCAGGCGCGAAAAYUYUGCAAUAAGCGAAAGCUUGACAGGGUUAUUCUGAGUGAUUUCCGCUAAGGAAAUCUUUUGGCACCUUUAAAAAUGGUGCAGAAUAAGGGGUGGGCAAGCCUGGUGUCAGCCGCCGCGGUAAUACCAGCACCCCGAGUGGUCGGGACGAUUAUUGGGCCUAAAGCAUCCGUAGCCGGUUCUACAAGUCUUCCGUUAAAUCCAACUGCUCAACAGUUGGGCUGCGGAGGAUACUAUAGAGCUAGGAGGCGGGAGAGGCAAGCGGUACUUAGUGGGUAGGGGUAAAAUCCGUUGAUCCAUUGAAGACCACCAGUGGCGAAGGCGGCUUGCCAGAACGCACUCGACGGUGAGGGAUGAAAGCUGGGGGAGCAAACCGGAUUAGAUACCCGGGUAGUCCCAGCUGUAAACGAUGCAGACUCGGUGAUGAGUUGGCUUAUUGCUAACUCAGUGCCGCAGGGAAGCCGUUAAGUUUGCCGCCUGGGGAGUACGGUCGCAAGACUGAA